CUACCAUGCAGUCGACGGUGACGAGGAGCUUGCUCCUCUGAUCAGUGGCGAACGGGUGAGUAACACGUGAGUAACCUGCCCCAGACUCUGGAAUAACAGUUGGAAACAGCUGCUAAUACCGGAUACGAGACGGAGCCGCAUGGCUACUGUCUGGAAAGUUUUUCGGUCUGGGAUGGACUCGCGGCCUAUCAGCUUGUUGGUGAGGUAACGGCUCACCAAGGCGACGACGGGUAGUCGGCCUGAGAGGGCGACCGGCCACACUGGGACUGAGACACGGCCCAGACUCCUACGGGAGGCAGCAGUGGGGAAUAUUGCACAAUGGGCGAAAGCCUGAUGCAGCGACGCCGCGUGCGGGAUGAAGGCCUUCGGGUUGUAAACCGCUUUCAGCAGGGAAGAAGCGAAAGUGACGGUACCUGCAGAAGAAGCACCGGCUAACUACGUGCCAGCAGCCGCGGUAAUACGUAAGGUGCGAGCGUUGUCCGGAAUUAUUGGGCGUAAAGAGCUUGUAGGCGGUUUGUCGCGUCUGCUGUGAAAUCCGGGGCUCAACCCCGGACCUGCAGUGGGUACGGGCAAAACUA
rnacentral:rRNA from 1 species